rnacentral:SRP_RNA from 1 species
CCGUACUAUGCGGGGAGUUAGCGAUGCCCUGUCGUCCGCAAUUCGCUUAGCGGAGCAGAAUGCCGUUUUAGGCUUGCGUCGUGGAAGGCCGCGUUUAAUAAGGGACGUUGAUAUUAAGGUCUUAUGCAACGUGUCGCCGUGAACCGUGUCAGAGUAGGAAUACAGCAGCACUAAGCGGAAUGAUUCGUGUGAUAUGAGGUUGCUUUAAGGGAGUUACCUGUUAUCCUAACGCUUCGGCGUCGCCUGUCGAGAACGGACGUACGG